GCCCGGGUGGCGAAACGGUAGACGCAGGGGACUUAAAAUCCCCCGGCCUUGGCCGUGCCGGUUCGAGUCCGGCCCCGGGCACCA
rnacentral:tRNA from 1 species